AUUUGUCGAAGGUUUAACUUUGUCCGAGCAUGGGAAGUGGGAGAAAUAAAGAGCACACAAAGUUUGUACCAGACAAAGUCUUUAACAACAAUGAACUACAUGACUGAUUACACACAGUAUUUCACUUAAUAAGAGUGCUGAGAAUACGUCUUAUAACAGUACUUACAACAGUACAUAUUACAGACAUACAGUGAAAUGAAAUGAGUACUCACGGUCGCUUGUUUUGGAUAAAUUCGUGGCUUCACAAGCAGAGUGUCUAUGCUUCUGUAGAAUCCCUCCUGUCCCUAGAGGACAGCUCAUUUGGACAGCUUCUGUCAAAAUACCAGACAUUAUUAAGAGAACCAAGAUCCGGGGACCCACACAGUAAAGGAAAAGAAAAGAAAAGAAAGAAAGAGAGGAAGAGAAGAGGAAGGAACAACAAAAGUAAGAAAAAA
rnacentral:sRNA from 1 species